GAUGAACGCUGGCGGCGUGCCUAAUACAUGCAAGUCGAGCGAACGGACGAGAAGCUUGCUUCUCUGAUGUUAGCGGCGGACGGGUAAGUAGCACGUGGAUAACCUACCUAUAAGACUGGGAUAACUUCGGGAAACCGGAGCUAAUACCGGAUAAUAUUUUGAACCGCAUGGUUCAAAAGUGAAAGACGGUCUUGCUGUCACUUAUAGAUGGAUCCGCGUUGCAUUAGCUAGUUGGUAAGGUAACGGCUUACCAAGGCAACGAUGCAUAGCCGACCUGAGAGGGUGAUCGGCCACACUGGAACUGAGACACGGUCCAGACUCCUACGGGAGGCAGCAGUAGGGAAUCUUCCGCAAUGGGCGAAAGCCUGACGGAGCAACGCCGCGUGAGUGAUGAAGGUCUUCGGAUCGUAAAACUCUGUUAUUAGGGAAGAACAUAUGUGUAAGUAACUGUGCACAUCUUGACGGUACCUAAUCAGAAAGCCACGGCUAACUACGUG
rnacentral:rRNA from 1 species